UACAGAGGUGGCAAGCGUUUGUUCGGAAUUACUGGGCGUAAAGGGCGCGUAGGCGCCAUCUAAGUCAGACGUGAAAUCCCCCGGCUUAACCUGGGAACUGCGUCUGAUACUGGACGGCUUGAGUAUGGGAGAGGGAUGUAGAAUUCCAGGUGUAGCGGUGAAAAUGCGUAGAUAUCUGGAGGAAUACCGGUGGCGAAGGCGGGCAUCGCGGACCUUGCACUGAG
rnacentral:rRNA from 1 species